AAAUUGAAGAGUUUGAUCAUGGCUCAGAUUGAACGCUGGCGGCAGGCCUAACACAUGCAAGUCGAACGGUAACAGGAAGCAGCUUGCUGUUUCGCUGACGAGUGGCGGACGGGUGAGUAAUGUCUGGGAAACUGCCUGAUGGAGGGGGAUAACUACUGGAAACGGUGGCUAAUACCGCAUAACGUCGCAAGACCAAAGAGGGGGACCUUCGGGCCUCUUGCCAUCAGAUGUGCCCAGAUGGGAUUAGCUUGUUGGUGAGGUAACGGCUCACCAAGGCGACGAUCCCUAGCUGGUCUGAGAGGAUGACCAGCCACACUGGAACUGAGACACGGUCCAGACUCCUACGGGAGGCAGCAGUGGGGAAUAUUGCACAAUGGGCGCAAGCCUGAUGCAGCCAUGCCGCGUGUAUGAAGAAGGCCUUCGGGUUGUAAAGUACUUUCAGCGGGGAGGAAGGUGUUGUGGUUAAUAACCGCAGCAAUUGACGUUACCCGCAGAAGAAGCACCGGCUAACUCCGUGCCAGCAGCCGCGGUAAUACGGAGGGUGCAAGCGUUAAUCGGAAUUACUGGGCGUAAAGCGCACGCAGGCGG
rnacentral:rRNA from 1 species